CAGGUCUUAAUGCAAAACAAAACAUUCACCUCUGACAAUCCUGAUGCCGGUGAAGUCCUCAAUGAAUGGUAACUGCUGCUUUUAUGUUAAAACACGGCUGCGAAGUAUGUCACAUGUCGUGAGACGGUAAGACCGGGGGUGCUUGCGCAGAAACACCGACGAGGAGACGCGCUUCUCAGACAGUGCAUUUGGGAUGGGUUCCUCAACCCGGGCAGGUGGAGAUCCGCAGAGCCUGGGAGGGGACUGUCUCGUGACAGGGGAUGGAGAAGGGGCAAAGGACAACAAAGGGAGUGGAGAAAGUUUUCGGGAGUGAGCAGAAUGGAGAAGCGAAGAAGAGGGUUUCAUACCCACAUUGCCCAGGUGAGACGCAAAGGAUCAGCCGAGCCAAGUCAUGUAACGGAAAAAUAAACACACAAAGAAAUACGCCUCGGGGCCGGGAGGACAUGUUAGGGCCCCUUCCCGAGGCUUCUGUCCUCGCCUCUCUUCUCUUCUCUGGGAGGAAGUGCUAAGAAAGAAGGAAAAAACUGCAAGAUCCUUUCGGUCUCGCUCGGCAUUUGUCGGGUCUUUUUCUGACUCCCCCGUCCUGCGUACAAGAGCAAGAGCAAGGGUUGCACGCUUUGUCAGAGAGAGGGAGAAGCUGCACACGUUCCGGGUGUCUGCCGAGACCUGGGAUCCCAGCACACGUGGGACUGUCACGGCGGACACGUUCUCGGCACAUUCCCAGCUCCGACUCGGCGCCUCCUCUGAGUUCAGGCACUGGGACCCUAACUCCAGGAUCUCAGGAUGCGGCAGGUUUUGAAAAUGGCGUCUUCAUAGACAUGAUGGAAUGAGGUCCCCAGGGUGGCCCCGAGCCCAGGGCUGGGUCCUCCUGAAAAGAGGGCGGGAGGACGCGGACACACACAGGGACGCGCUUGUGAGGACACAGGAAGCCUGGGGGGAGCCAGCGUUGCCCACGCUGGGCCUGGGGCCUGCAGCUCCGGGAUGUCCGAAGUUGAAGGGACCAGGCGAGGGGACUUUAAUUUGCAGAGGGAGGGCACAAUUCUGCUCCUAACAGGAAUUAGGCAUGUGGCAAAAUGCGCCUUCUACAACAGUGCUGCGUACACUGGAAAGCAAUGCAUUCUCUCCCUGGUGCAAACUAGAUGCCACAUUUUUCUCCCUGGAAGCUGGUGUGGUGGCCCACACCUGUCAGCCCACUACUCUCUCGGGAGGCUGAGGCAGGAGGAUUGCUGCAAGUUUGAGGUCAGCCUGGGCUGUGUAGCAAGACUGUCUCAACAAAACAAAAAUCAAAACAAAAUAAAGCUGUAUGCUUCUGUCCGUGGGAGAGAGACAUCCAUUUCCCUAUCGGCUGUGACAGGCUGGUGUAAACUUUGGAAGCCAGCAACUAUUCGCUUCUUUUUUAUUUUUAGGAGUGCAUAUUUACAACACGUAACGAUUGCAUUCCUCAUGGGGAGGUGGGGUGUGCAUAAUGCAGCUUAAUGCUUUUACUUCUCUUUCUCCUCCUCUCCAUCUUUUUGUCCCCUUCUCAUUUGAGAAAUACCUGUUUCUCUACUUCUUAUUACCUCUCUUUUAUUUUGCUAUUUAUCUAUACUUUCUGUUGCUGAUGUAAGAGAAACCAUGUGAUACUGAAGCUCGUGCAUCUGAUUUAUUUCACUUAACAUUGUGGUUUCAAAGUGCGUCUGUUUUCCUACAAAUGACUCAAAUUUUUCCUUCUUUAUGACUGAGUAGUACUCCAUUGUGUGUAAAUACACUAGACCCUUGACUUAUGAACUCAAUCCAUGCCUGAGAGUGGGUUGUAACUCAAGUUGGUCAGUGGAGGCUCAGCUCCUCCACACAGCCUUCAGAGUCUCUCUCCUGUCCACAGGCAGAGCUCAGUGUCCUUGGAGACACCCUGGCUCAGGAUUUCUCAGUGAACCCCACGCAGGACAGGGUGCUGUCCUGUUCCUUUCACAGCUCUUUAGGGUUCAGUCUGUACCGGAGACAAUCUGGGAGCACAAGC
rnacentral:lncRNA from 1 species